AUGAACGCUAGCUACAGGCUUAACACAUGCAAGUCGAGGGGCAGCAUGGUCUUAGCUUGCUAAGGCCGAUGGCGACCGGCGCACGGGUGAGUAACACGUAUCCAACCUGCCGUCUACUCUUGGACAGCCUUCUGAAAGGAAGAUUAAUACAAGAUGGCAUCAUGAGUCCACAUGUUCACAUGAUUAAAGGUAUUCCGGUAGACGAUGGGGAUGCGUUCCAUUAGAUAGUAGGCGGGGUAACGGCCCACCUAGUCUUCGAUGGAUAGGGGUUCUGAGAGGAGGGUCCCCCACAUUGGAACUGAGACACGGUCCAAACUCCUACGGGAGGCAGCAGUGAGGAAUAUUGGUCAAUGGGCGAGAGCCUGAACCAGCCAAGUAGCGUGAAGGAUGACUGCCCUAUGGGUUGUAAACUUCUUUUAUAAAGGAAUAAAGUCGGGUAUGGAUACCCGUUUGCAUGUACUUUAUGAAUAAGGAUCGGCUAACUCCGUGCCAGCAGCCGCGGUAAUACGGAGGAUCCGAGCGUUAUCCGGAUUUAUUGGGUUUAAAGGGAGCGUAGAUGGAUGUUUAAGUCAGUUGUGAAAGUUUGCGGCUCAACCGUAAAAUUGCAGUUGAUACUGGAUAUCUUGAGUGCAGUUGAGGCAGGCGGAAUUCGUGGUGUAGCGGUGAAAUGCUUAGAUAUCACGAAGAACUCCGAUUGCGAAGGCAGCCUGCUAAGCUGCAACUGACAUUGAGGCUCGAAAGUGUGGGUAUCAAACAGGAUUAGAUACCCUGGUAGUCCACACGGUAAACGAUGAAUACUCGCUGUUUGCGAUAUACUGCAAGCGGCCAAGCGAAAGCGUUAAGUAUUCCACCUGGGGAGUACGCCGGCAACGGUGAAACUCAAAGGAAUUGACGGGGGCCCGCACAAGCGGAGGAACAUGUGGUUUAAUUCGAUGAUACGCGAGGAACCUUACCCGGGCUUAAAUUGCAGAUGAAUUACGGUGAAAGCCGUAAGCCGCAAGGCAUCUGUGAAGGUGCUGCAUGGUUGUCGUCAGCUCGUGCCGUGAGGUGUCGGCUUAAGUGCCAUAACGAGCGCAACCCUUGUUGUCAGUUACUAACAGGUUCUGCUGAGGACUCUGACAAGACUGCCAUCGUAAGAUGUGAGGAAGGUGGGGAUGACGUCAAAUCAGCACGGCCCUUACGUCCGGGGCUACACACGUGUUACAAUGGGGGGUACAGAGGGCCGCUACCACGCGAGUGGAUGCCAAUCCCCAAAACCUCUCUCAGUUCGGACUGGAGUCUGCAACCCGACUCCACGAAGCUGGAUUCGCUAGUAAUCGCGCAUCAGCCACGGCGCGGUGAAUACGUUCCCGGGCCUUGUACACACCGCCCGUCAAGCCAUGGGAGCCGGGGGUACCUGAAGUGCGUAACCGCGAGGAGCGCCCUAGGGUAAAACUGGUGACUGGGGCU
rnacentral:rRNA from 1 species